AGUCGAACGCGAAAGGGGCUUCGGCCCUGAGUAGAGUGGCGAACGGGUGAGUAACACGUGGGUGAUCUACCUUCGAGUGGGGGAUAACGUCCCGAAAGGGACGCUAAUACCGCAUGACGUUCCGGGUUUAAAGACCUGGAAACCAAAGCCGGGGACCGCAAGGCCUGGCGCUUGAAGAGGAGCCCGCGUCCGAUUAGCUAGUUGGCGGGGUAAUGGCCCACCAAGGCGACGAUCGGUAGCCGGCCUGAGAGGGCGGACGGCCACACUGGAACUGAGACACGGUCCAGACUCCUACGGGAGGCAGCAGUGGGGAAUUGUUCACAAUGGGCGCAAGCCUGAUGACGCAACGCCGCGUGGGGGAUGAAGGUCUUCGGAUUGUAAACCCCUGUCGAACGGGACGAAAGACCCGGGAGCUAAUCAUCCCGGGAGUGACGGUACCGUUAAAGGAAGCCACGGCUAACUCUGUGCCAGCAGCCGCGGUAAUACAGAGGUGGCAAGCGUUGUUCGGAAUUACUGGGCGUAAAGGGCGCGUAGGCGGCCCACUAAGUCAGACGUGAAAUCCCCCGGCUUAACCUGGGAACUGCGUCUGAUACUGGAGGGCUUGAGUAUGGGAGAGGGAUGUAGAAUUCCAGGUGUAGCGGUGAAAUGCGUAGAUUUCUGGAGGAAUACCGGUGGCGAAGGCGGCAUCCUGGACCAUUACUGACGCUGAGGCGCGAAAGCUAGGGGAGCAAACGGGAUUAGAUACCCCGGUAGUCCUAGCCCUAAACGAUGAAUGCUUGGUGUGGCGGGUAUCGAUCCCUGCCGUGCCGAAGCUAACGCAUUAAGCAU
rnacentral:rRNA from 1 species